CCUACGGGAGACAGCAGUGGGGAAUACUGGGCAAUGGGCGCAAGCCUGACCCAGCAACGCCGCGUGAAGGAAGAAGGCUCUCGGGUUGUAAACUUCUUUUGUCAGGGAAGAGUAGAAGACGGUACCUGACGAAUAAGCCACGGCUAACUACGUGCCAGCAGCCGCGGUAAUACGUAGGUGGCAAGCGUUGUCCGGAUUUACUGGGUGUAAAGGGCGUGUAGCCGGGUUGACAAGUCAGAUGUGAAAUCCUGCGGCUUAACCGCAGAACUGCAUUUGAAACUGUUGAUCUUGAGUACUGGAGAGGCAGAAAGAAUGCCUAGUGUAGCGGUGAGAUGCGUAGAAAUUAGGAGGAACGCCAGUGGCGAAGGCGGUCUGCUGGACAGCAACUGACGGUGAGGCGCGAAGGCGUGGGGAGCAAACAGGAUUAGAUACCCGAGUAGUC
rnacentral:rRNA from 1 species